ensembl:lncRNA
GUGGACAUCAUGCUGCUUUGUUCUGUCCUGCUCCAGCCAGCCGAGUCCUUUCCUGAUCUGUGUCACAGAGCUUUGCACCUCUCUACAAAGGAGAUUCAGUAUCUCAUAUCCUUUUUCAUAUUUUCCCUGUCUUUUUUUUUUCUUUUUUUCUGCCCAUAUCACAAAGAACCAUCACAUCUGAGCUUCAGAUGGAGUGGCCAAGCAGAAGUGCUACUUGAUGACCUCCUUGUUGACAGCUGUUCUUACUGCCCUGAGUGCCUCUCACCAGCACCUGGUGCUUCCCAGGCUCGCGGUAUGACUGAUCACUGGGCUCAGAGCACAGCUGCCUUUACAAACCGUUUUCAACAAGAAUGCUCCAUGGGGAAGCAGCAGUAUUGCAAUCGGAGCUUCUGUGCAACCCUAGAGCAGCUGAGAGGGCACCACGGCCUUCCCCAGAGGUCCUGGAGCCUCGAUGAGCACAAAUACCCCAUGUACAAUGGUUUUCUCUGUGCAACGUGUGCUGUGGACCAAUGAGACUCAUAUGGGUCAGUCUGCCUCAGUCUAACCGUACCUGUGCACCCAUACUGCGCAUUGGGCUGUUGUUGAUCUGGAACCUACUCUGGGUGAUUGGAGAUUGUUCCUCUGUGUGUCAUCUGCUGCUUUCCAGAAACUCUCUAGCCAUUGUCACGAUGUAUUACUGCUGAAUUGAUCUCAAAUUCAGGAGAUUUAAUGUCUCCAAAUUGGUGUAGAUGUACUUUUGUAAGUUUGUGAUGUUGAUAUACAGCACUGCUUUCCUUUUAUUGUUGCUGUUUCCCCAAGGAAGCUCCCUAGGGUAGGGAAAAUGGAUCAAGGGCAUGGUAGGUAGCAAGGGCAUCCUUUGAAUGCACUGACUUUGACCUCUCAUGGCACUUUGUCACCCCUGUCUCAAUCUAUGCAACACUACUGUUGUGUUAAUGCAACUCCUUUACAUGCAGAUCUUCUUCCACGUUCAGGGAAAAAAAGUAAACCAUUAACCAGAAGACCCCUAACAUAAUUGAUAAAAUAAAGGAUGGCUGUUAUAUUAUUCAAA